GCGGGAAUAACUCAGUGGUAGAGUGUCAGCUUCCCAAGCUGAUGGUCGCGGGUUCGAAUCCCGUUUCCCGCUCCA
rnacentral:tRNA from 1 species